rnacentral:rRNA from 1 species
GACGGUCUUGCUGUCACUUAUAGAUGGAUCCGCGCUGCAUUAGCUAGUUGGUAAGGUAACGGCUUACCAAGGCAACGAUGCAUAGCCGACCUGAGAGGGUGAUCGGCCACACUGGAACUGAGACACGGUCCAGACUCCUACGGGAGGCAGCAGUAGGGAAUCUUCCGCAAUGGGCGAAAGCCUGACGGAGCAACGCCGCGUGAGUGAUGAAGGUCUUCGGAUCGUAAAACUCUGUUAUUAGGGAAGAACAUAUGUGUAAGUAACUGUGCACAUCUUGACGGUACCUAAUCAGAAAGCCACGGCUAACUACGUGCCAGCAGCCGCGGUAAUACGUAGGUGGCAAGCGUUAUCCGGAAUUAUUGGGCGUAAAGCGCGCGUAGGCGGUUUUUUAAGUCUGAUGUGAAAGCCCACGGCUCAACCGUGGAGGGUCAUUGGAAACUGGAAAACUUGAGUGCAGAAGAGGAAAGUGGAAUUCCAUGUGUAGCGGUGAAAUGCGCAGAGAUAUGGAGGAACACCAGUGGCGAAGGCGACUUUCUGGUCUGUAACUGACGCUGAUGUGCGAAAGCGUGGGGAUCAAACAGGAUUAGAUACCCUGGUAGUCCACGCCGUAAACGAUGAGUGCUAAGUGUUAGGGGGUUUCCGCCCCUUAGUGCUGCAGCUAACGCAUUAAGCACUCCGCCUGGGGAGUACGACCGCAAGGUUGAAAC